rnacentral:rRNA from 1 species
UCCGCAAUGGGCGCAAGCCUGACGGGGCGACGCCGCGUGGAUGACGAAGGCCUUCGGGUUGUAAAAUCCUGUCGCGAGGGAAGAACCGCUGGGUGUUAAUAGCCUUCCAGCCUGACGUUACCUCGAGAGGAAGCCAUGGCUAACUCCGUGCCAGCAGCCGCGGUAAUACGGAGAUGGCAAGCGUUGUUCGGAUUUACUGGGCAUAAAGCGCACGUAGGCGGAUCCACAAGUCGGUUGUGAAAUCCCAGGGCUCAACCCUGGAACUGCGGCCGAUACUAUGGAUCUAGAGCAUGAAAGGGGAGAGUGGAACUUCUGGUGGAGCGGUGAAAUGCGUAGAUAUCAGAAGGAACACCGGUGGCGAAAGCGACUCUCUGGUUCAUUGCUGACGCUGAGGUGCGAAAGCUAGGGGAGCAAACGGGAUUAGAUACCCCGGUAGUCCUAGCCGUAAACGAUGGGCACUAAGUAGAGGGGUU